UAAAAACUGUAGCUAUGUCUGACACGCCAUGCUGCUCUCACAGUACACACCUUGUUCUCACACAGCGAAUAAUACAUCGUGGACCAAAGAGGAAACUGACAACACACAGACAGAAGAAGACAGAGAAGGUCACUUCUGAUCCAUCAAAGUCCUCAUCUUCUGUGUCUGAGUUGAACAGCUUUCUUCUUCUAACAUGCCGGGUUCCCUCUCAUCAUGGUUGAUCACUGCCAGUGUACGUAGUGUACGUAUUACAUCCCUGUGUCAGCGGGAUAUGGUCUGACAGUCAGCCUCACGUGUGGAGACUUCAGAAGAUACCAGACCUCACAAAGAUUUCAGAAAGCUGCUAAAUAAUCCUUAUAUUGUAAUCAUUGCCCUAAAAGGGAGGAACUUGUCAGCAAAUCUACUUCACAGCACAUCAGUGAAAGCAGUUGACAGUUACAGACGGGUGUUGGAUCAGGG